GACGAACGCUGGCGGCGUGCCUAAUACAUGCAAGUCGAACGCAGUGGGGACGGGUGAUUAACACGUGGGUAACCUCCCAUCAGAGGGGAUAACACUUGGAAAAAGGUGCUAAACCGAUACUGAUGGAUGGACUCGCGGUGCAUUAGCUAGUUGAUGAGGUAACGGCGCACCAAGGCGACGAUGCUUAGCCGGCCUGAGAGUGUGAUCGGCCACACUGUGAAUGAUACACGGCCCAGACUCCUACGGGAGGCAGCAGUGGGUAAUCUUGUGCAAUGGACGAAAGUCUGACAGAGCAAUGACGCGUGAGUGAAGAAGGUUUUCGGAUCGUAAAACUCUGUUGUUAGAGAAGCGGUAUCUACCCAGAAAGCCACGGCUAACUACGUGCCAGCCGCCGCGGUAAUUC
rnacentral:rRNA from 1 species